rnacentral:rRNA from 1 species
UCUGGUUGAUCCCGGCGGAGGUUACUGCUAUCGGUGUUCGACUAAGCCAUGCAAGUCAUAUGUUCUUCGUGAACAUGGCAUACUGCUCAGUAACACGUGGAUAACCUGCCCUUGGGUCCGGGAUAACCCCGGGAAACUGGGGAUAAUACCGGAUAACGCAUAUGUGCUGGAAUGCUUUAUGCGUAAAACGGAUUCGUCCGCCCAAGGAUGGGUCUGCGGCCUAUCAGGUAGUAGUGGGUGUAAUGUACCUACUAGCCAACAACGGGUACGGGUUGUGAGAGCAAGAGCCCGGAGAUGGAUUCUGAGACAUGAAUCCAGGCCCUACGGGGCGCAGCAGGCGCGAAAACUUUACAAUGCGGGAAACCGUGAUAAGGGAACACCGAGUGCCAGCAUCAUAUGCUGGCUGUCCAGAUGUGUAAAGUACAUCUGUUAGCAAGGGCCGGGCAAGACCGGUGCCAGCCGCCGCGGUAACACCGGCGGCCCGAGUGGUGACCGUUAUUAUUGGGUCUAAAGGGUCCGUAGCCGGUUUGGUCAGUCCUCCGGGAAAUCUGAUAGCUUAACUGUUAGGCUUUCGGGGGAUACUGCCAGGCUUGGAACCGGGAGAGGUAAGAGGUACUACAGGGGUAGGAGUGAAAUCUUGUAAUCCCUGUGAGACCACCUGUGGCGAAGGCGUCUUACCAGAACGGGUUCGACGGUGAGGGACGAAAGCUGGGGGCACGAACCGGAUUAGAUACCCGGGUAGUCCCAGCCGUAAACUAUGCUCGCUAGGUGUCAGGCAUGGCGCGACCGUGUCUGGUGCCGCAGGGAAGCCGUGAAGCGAGCCACCUGGGAAGUACGGCCGCAAGGCUGAAACUUAAAGGAAUUGGCGGGGGAGCACAACAACGGGUGGAGCCUGCGGUUUAAUUGGACUCAACGCCGGACAACUCACCGGGGACGACAGCAAAAUGUAGGCCAGGCUGAAGACCUUGCCUGAAUCGCUGAGAGGAGGUGCAUGGCCGUCGCCAGUUCGUACUGUGAAGCAUCCUGUUAAGUCAGGCAACGAGCGAGACCCA